CGGGUGAGUAACACGUAUCCAACCUGCCGUCUACUCUUGACAGCCUUCUGAAAGGAAGAUUAAUACAAGAUGGCAUCAUGAGUCCGCAUGUUCACAUGAUUAAAGGUAUUCCGGUAGACGAUGGGGAUGCGUUCCAUUAGAUAGUAGGCGGGGUAAUGGCCCACCUAGUCUUCGAUGGAUAGGGGUUCUGAGAGGAAGGUCCCCCACAUUGGAACUGAGACACGGUCCAA
rnacentral:rRNA from 1 species